UGCUCAGUUAUUACAAGCUCCACAUGAUGAUGCAUAACUAAUAAUACGUGAGAGGUUUCCUGUCCCACGAUUGGUGGUGUGUGAUCAACAUGGUUCUUAGGUAAAUGACCAUUUUACCCUCGCAUUCCAAAUAACAAAUUUCACAAUAUUGAUUAGUAGUGGGAGAUACACCAAAUGACUUAAAUUUCUGCUUAAAUGGUCUCAUAUGGCCUGAUCAGACUCCUCAUCCUGCUCUAAAUGAGGUCAAGUAUUGCUAUCAACCAAUUAAAAUUUCGUUCACCAAUGGCGUAAUUGAGAUUACAAACACCAAUUUCUUUCAAACAACAGAAGAUCUAGAGUUUAAUUGGGUGAUUGAAGGUGAUGGAUGUAAACUUGAUUCUGGAACUCUGAGUCUACCAACAUUAGA